rnacentral:rRNA from 1 species
CCUACGGGUGGCUGCAGUGAGGAAUAUUGGUCAAUGGGCGCGAGCCUGAACCAGCCAAGUCGCGUGAGGGAUGACGGUCCUACGGAUUGUAAACCUCUUUUGCCGGGGAGCAAGCGUGCGUUCGUGAACGCGCGUCGAGAGUACCCGGAGAAAAAGCAUCGGCUAACUCCGUGCCAGCAGCCGCGGUAAUACGGGGGAUGCGAGCGGUAUCCGGAUUUAUUGGGUUUAAAGGGUGCGUAGGCGGGAUGCCAAGUCAGCGGUAAAAAUGCGGCGCUCAACGCCGUCGGGCCGUUGAAACUGGCGUUCUUGGGUGGGCGGGAAGUGUGCGGAAGGGGUGGUGUAGCGGUGAAAUGCAUAGAUAUCACGCAGAAGUCCGAUUGCGAAGGCAGCAUACCGGCGCCCUACUGAGGCUGAGGCACGAAAGCGUGGGUAUCGAACAGGAUUAGAUACCCCAGUAGUG